rnacentral:rRNA from 1 species
AUUGAACGCUGGCGGCAUGCCUUACACAUGCAAGUCGAACGGCAGCAUGGGUGCUUGCACCUGAUGGCGAGUGGCGAACGGGUGAGUAAUGCAUCGGAACGUACCCGGAAGUGGGGGAUAACGUAGCGAAAGUUACGCUAAUACCGCAUAUUCUGUGAGCAGGAAAGCGGGGGAUCGCAAGACCUCGCGCUUCCGGAGCGGCCGAUGUCGGAUUAGCUAGUUGGCGGGGUAAAGGCCCACCAAGGCAACGAUCCGUAGCGGGUCUGAGAGGAUGAUCCGCCACACUGGGACUGAGACACGGCCCAGACUCCUACGGGAGGCAGCAGUGGGGAAUAUUGGACAAUGGGCGCAAGCCUGAUCCAGCCACGCCGCGUGAGUGAUGAAGGCCUUCGGGUCGUAAAGCUCUGUGGGGAGGGACGGAACGGCGGCCAUGAAGAGUGGCGAUUGACGGUACCUCCUUAGCAAGCACCGGCUAACUUCGUGCCAGCAG